GCCACGGUGGUCUAGCGGUUCGAACGCUGGCCUUGUAAUCCUGGGGUCUCGGGUUCGAUUCCCGGCGGUGCCC
rfam:Zootermopsis nevadensis contig14544, whole genome shotgun sequence.